GGGACCACAAUAUGGAAGGCUAAAAAUGGAGGCAGUCUGUCCAAGGGAGAUGAGAUUACCAGCGAUCCAUGAGACAGCAGCUAACCUUAGGCAAGUAGGUUUACUCAUAACAGAAAAAUACUUUAAGGGGUCGCAGAUGGCUACAUAGCGGUCAUAAGCCAUAACAGAGAGAAGAAAGCAUUCUGUGACACCAAGAGUGAAGAAGCAAUACAUCUGCAUACAGCAUCCGUAGAAGGAGAUGGUUUUCC